AGCCUCCCAGAGGCGCUUCGCUGGGGCGGAUUAUCUUCCUUCCAUCCCCCAGGCCCGGCGGGGUCCCAAAGCCCGGAGGCGCUGGAACUCCACGCCCCCUCCCCCCACACCGCUGCUUUUGCUUGUUUAACCUUCUCCCCGGGAGGUGACCCUGCGCCCCGCCAAGCGCAGCCAUCAAGGUCAAGCAGGGGUGGGGGGGGCACCUCAGGGGUCAUCCAGCGGUAGGGGUCCCCCAAGCGGCAAAGACCCUCCUCCCAUCCCCCAGCCCGGAGCCUUAGGCAGGCAUCCCAGGCCUGGUUUCCAGAGGCCCUGUGCAACCUUCAGCAGUUAUCUUAGCCUUUCUGGGCUUUGACUUCUGGGGACUGAGCCCUGCCUCCCCUGGGCCUGUUUCAGGACUUUCUUCCCUCCCUGCACUCGGUGCUCAGUCCUGGGCCCCUGAGCAAGACAGGGCCACCUGCCCACAGGUGGUGGGUCACAGAGAGUCCCCUGCAAAUCAGCACCACCCCAGUCCUGCAGUCCCCCAGGUGGCCUGUGGGCUCCUCUCUCUGACUGCACUGGGAACUCUAGGGGCAUUGACCCGGCUGAUUGUGCAGUGUCACCCUUGUCACUCUGAGAAGGGCUGGAAGGGGCAGGAGGGGUGGGAGGGGGACCUAGAUGGAGCCUGGAGCUGGGUCUGCCAAGGGCCCAGCCUUGGUGCCCCAUCCUUGGUGUGUUUCUCAGGCACUAGGACUUUUGCCUUUUGAAUAGUGGCAGUGGGGGCUUGUUAAUGUGACCUCCUGAUAUGGGGCCUAGAAAGGGCUGGGACAUAGGACAAGUGGCUCCCAGGGGCUAUGUAUACCUCAUGUGGAUUUGCCCUUUCUAGACCCUGAAUGUGUCCUCGAGGUAGUGAUGAUGUCCCCCCAUCUGGAAGACAAGGGAAAGGAGUCCCAGAGCUAGUUAAGGUGCCCAAGUCACACAGCUCAUGGCCAGGACAAUGGUCCAUACCAGGCAGAGAUAGGGGACUGUGGUGGACUCUGAAAUGUGGGGCUCAGCGGCCAGCCAGAUGCACGGUGGCCCAGAGACCCAGGCCAGCCUCCUCUACCAAGCUCAGGGGACAAGCCUGCCCCAGGCUGAAGAAACCUCCUGAGGCCCCACUCUACCCCGAGCCCUCGCUGGCUCCUGCCCCAGGAGACACUGCUCUGUUCUGGAGGUCAUAUUGCCGGGAGGGACCCAAGCUCUGUGGGGGAGACUUGGGCAAGGCGCUGGCCCGCUGUGCCUCCCUCACCCACCUGUACAGGGGUUGGUGGGCAGGGCUGGGGGUUCCCCUCUCACCUAGGUUGGGGCCAGCAGGUGGAGCCACAAGGGGAAUCAGCCCCAGAGGUUGUUCCCAAGCCCCAGCCCCAGGAAGGGUUGCCAGGUGGGCCUUGCAGGGCCCCACCCCCCACCCAUGCAGGACAAGCACGUAGAUGCCGAAAAGGCCUCUGGGCUCUCGGGAUUCCAGGAGGCACGUGAGGGGGUGAGGGCCUUCCCAGCUCAGCAGCCAGUCACCCCAUUGCCCCCAAACAAGGUGAGUCCCCACUGGCCACCAAACCUGGCCCAGGACCCAACCUCCUGGUCACAGGAGGUAGGUGGGGCAGGAGGCCCUGGUCAUGGGCUGGGAGCCUGGGCCCUGGCCCCAACUGGGGCACUUAGCCCUGUGCCCCAUCAGCUGUGCCACUGGCGUGUUCUGGGGAUGGGGGUCCUGGGGACCUUCGGGGUGUGGCGGUGCCCAGGAUAAGCCGUCUUUGCCCACUCCACACCAGGAGGCUGAGCCGGCGGGGAGUGCCAGGAAGAGGCGCUGUUGAGAGACGUUUAUGCUUCUCUGUGACUGCAUUCUUUCAACACCCUGGUGCAGUAAUAGGCCUUCACUGAAGAGGAAAUGGAGGCCCAGAGAGGGCCGGAUGGGUAAGGAAUGACGGGAAGAGGAGACGUCUCUGGUGCAUAAUGGAAGAGCAGGCACCCCUUAGGAGCUACAAGCACUUUGGUUUACAUCUGCUGAUCGAACAUGGGAGAAAACCCAGAAAAAAUAACAUGCGUGUCGUCGUUGGAGCACGUUUUUGGCUCUAGAUUUGAGAUUAGCAUAAUACUUGUCUAAAGCUAGCAACAGUAAAUUUUUCCUGUCUGGAAACGUGUUAAUGAUAUUUAGGAGAAAGUAUCUUUGGAUGGAGAUAAAGUUUGCUCACAGGGCUUUUAUUGUUAUGUGUGUUCUUGGAGGAGCCAGAGGGAGACAUCUGGGUAAUGUUUGUCAUCAUUUCUUUGAAAUAUUUUAAAAAUAUGUGCCACCCCAUCCCCAGAGCCGUUGAAUUAUGAGGAUCAUGUGGAGCCAAUGCCCGAGUCUGUUGGCAUCUGUCUCUGGGCUCGGCUCCCUGAUUUCCGACAGGUGGGAAAUUGCUCAGCCCAUUUUACAGUCAUGAAGACUGAACCUCUGUGGAGACUGGUGGACCCAGGACUGUGAAGUCCUCGGGGGGCUCAGUAGCAGGAGCCGGCCCCUGCUCCCUCUUCAGUUUACUUUCUGAAACAGGCUUGACCAUGUCCCGCCCCCACUGGAAGGGGCCCAGCUCUCGGGCAGGUGUCCAGGGCUGGCUGAGCUUACAAACACCAGAUCUGCAGCCUGAGGUUUUGUCUUCGGUGAAGUCAGCCGCAGUGAGAGGUGUUGGCAUUCCCACGUCUUCUGAAAUCCAGGGUUGACAGAGAAGCGGUUGCCUCUUGCUGAAAGCAUUUUCUCCUGGAAAACGCAGCCUGUCCCCUCCCCUCCAGAGAAGGGGGAGGGAGGCCAGGCCUCGGCCUCACCCCCUUGCCCCAGAAGGAGCCCUGGGCCUGGGAACUGGGCGCCCGGACCUCAUCCCCUCUGUCUUCGUCUGUCCUCGGGGCAGCUCUCCCGUGGGCUCCUCAGCUUGCACAGCUGUCAAAUGGAGCCUCAGAGUGGCCAAGGGCCGUGACCGGCUUUGUUUCGCUGCGGACCUCAGCAGGGGUCCGGGCAGCGAGCCCUGGGGUCCUCACGGUGCCAGACCCGGGUCCCUCCUGGCGAGUGGAGACCAGAGCAAGUGUGGAGAAGCCCCCACUCGCAGGCAUAGGACCCUUGAGCAGAAAACAUGAGCAGAAAACAUCGAGUGCACUCCAAGCUGAAUAUUUGGUGCUGGCCUAACCCAUCGUUCUUGACUCCGACGUCCAAGUGGCCCGCGACAGCCUGGAUCCCCGAGAUGUUCUGUGGAAUAUCAUUCCUUCACGGUGUCUCAGACAAAAGGCUGCUGGGGUCACUGCGGCCUGGGAGGUGACACACACUGGCUCCGCCCAGCCCUGAGAUCUGCGACACCAGGAGCACCUUAACCACUGGAGGCUCGGCUGCAGAGGCGUCUGCCCGCGCUUCCCACGCACGCUAGCCUCGCGGCACGCAGAGACACCUUUUCCGAGUCACCUCUACCCUAGGCAGGGUCCACUCAGGAGACAGAAACCGCCCAUCGCUGCAGAGAGCUCAGUGGGAAGAAGCACGAACUUGGUGCUGAAGGACUGAAGAGCGAAGGGGACCCCAGGACGUCUUGGGGGCAGCAACCCUGGGAUGCAGCUGCAGCCCCCAGGCCUGGGAAGGCACAGGGAAGAGGAGGCGUUAUUUAAACUCAGCAGCUCAGAGGAGGGACCGUCGAGCGGGCCCAGACCUCUGAGGGGCCACGGCUGGCAUUUCUGGGGGCCAGGUUGGCCCAGUGUGUGGAAACUGCAAACUGUGCUGGGGCUGCGGGGAGAGGAGCGUUGCCAUGACGACACCCCUGGGGCAGAGCCCACCAGGUUUAGGGUAGCUGUUCCUGCAGCGCUAAGUUAUCGCUACGGCCCUACAGAUUUGCCUCCUGGUGCUGAAGGCCGGGAGGCUGCCUGUGCGGAGGCUCGAGGAGCUCUGUGCACUGCGCGGGACGUGUCGGGGGUUGCACUGUCUCCCCAAAAUUCAUAUGUUGAAAUCUUCACCCCAGCACCUCAGAACCUAACCUUAUUUGGAAAUAGGGGAGCUGCAGAUGUAAGUGGUUAAGAUGAGGUCAGACUGGAGCAGGUGGGCCCCAAUCCGACAUGACUGGUGUCCUUACACAAAGGGAAAAAUCUGACACAAACACACACACACGCAGAAAAUGCCAUGUGGAGAUAAAGGUGAGGCCAGGGUGAUGCUUCUUGCAGGCCCAGGAGCACCCAGGAUGGCCGGCAAAUCACGAACAGCUGGACGCGGGGCCGGGAACACACUCUCCUCCUAGCCAUGGGGGGGAACCAGCCCCGCCCACGCUGGGCGCCCAAACCUCCAGCCUCCAGAGCUCCCCGCAAUCAGGUUCCCUUGUUUGAGCCACCAGUUCACGGUGUCUGAUGUGAUGGCAGCCCCAGGUGACUGGCAGGAAAAUUAAAGUGGCCAAGGACACAUAAAGCCCCAGAUUCCUGGUUUGCCUGGCAGGGGUUCCAACUACUGGAGAAACGGUUGUCAGAGCGCGAGGGACUUUCUGUGCUGGCAGACGCGCGAGCAGCUGCUCUGAGAAGCGCUGUCGUUGCUGAGUGCCCGGGUUAGAAGAACAGUGGACACGCCUUUAAAUGCACUGCUGGUUGCUAGCAAGAUACACACACACUCGCCCUGGCACCCAGCAAGGCCACGUCUAGGAACCUGCUCCAAAGACACGCCGGCCAAAUGACAAAGCAGCGAGUGUGCGAAGCUGCUGCUGCAGGCCUGUUUGUGGGUGUCCAGCGUUGGGACUGCUUGAUGUUUCCUCAUGAGCAGUUUAGGUUCUUACAAAAACCUAAGAAAAUCCCAGAAGGGACGCGGUAUUAUCACAUCUGACCACGUGGUUCACACUUGUGAUUUGUCCCAUCACUGGGGACACUGACUUUGCUUGAUUAGGUGGAACCUGCAGGUAUCUCCACUGCAAAGUCCUUUUUGUAAGUAGCAGGUGUUUUGUGGGAAGUACACUAAGGCCGUGUAAAUAUCCCAUUCUCCAUCACACCCGUAGCUGGCCACUCACUGUUGGUGAAAGCGUGUCCCGUGGAGUCCUGUUGCGUUCAGUGGGUCAUAACCCAUCACGGCCAGCGUUUCCUUUCACGCUCAAGUUGUCCACUGUCUGGCCAGAGUGAGCCACUUCCUGGUGGCCUCUGCGUCCAUUUGACAUGCCCUGUCAUUCCUCGAGCACUUCCUUACUCUCCAACACGACAGGAUGGCUCCAGCUCACCUUACUCCUUCCCCAGCCCAGGGCUGGGACCAGACGUUUCCUCGAGGACCCGGGUUCUCUUUAGGGACAAUGGCAGUUAGAAGCCAAGACCUGGAUCUAAGUGUGCUCACGGCCAUCAGGGUGCUGCUGCUCCUGGGGCCUCAGGAGGAGAGCUUGGCAUAGACAUUCGUGUUUACUUACAUACAUGCAGAUGUGCAGGCACACGUGUUCACCUGCACCUACCUCUCUAAGCACUUCAAUGUAUAACAUGUAUCUGUGUAUGUUGCAAGCCACACCUUUAUACCUCAGACCCUAAUUCACAUCCAGCACUCAGGGCGGUUCUUGUUCUCUCCCUUUCUCUUUGCAACUUCCUUCCAGCAAGACCGCUUUCGUCAUCCUCAGCAUGCUUACUCUUCCAUCACUGCCCCGGGUGAAGCCAGUCUCCCUCAGC